GUAGGUGAGGCCUUGUUGGAGUAGGUGUGGCCUUGUUGGAGUAGGUGUGGCCUUGUUGGAGUAGGUGUGGCCUUGUUGGAGUAGGUGUGGCCUUGUUGGAGUAGGUGUGGCCUUGUUGGAGAGGGUGUGGCCUUGUUGGAGAAGGUGUGGCCUUGUUGGAGUUGGUGUGGCCUUGUUGGAGUAGGUGUGGCCUUGUUGGAGUAGGUGAGGCCUUGUUGGAGAAGGUGUGGCCUUGUUGGAGUAGGUGUGGCCUUGUUGGAGUGUGUGUGGCAUUGUUGGAGUGGAUGUGACCUUGUUGGAGUAGGUGAGGCCUUGUUGGAGUAGGUGUGGCCUUGUUGGAGUAGGUGUGGCCUUGUUGGAGUGGGUGUUGCCUUGUUGGAGUGGGUGUGGCAUUUUUGGAGUGGGUGUGGCCUUUUUGGAAUGGUUGUGGCCUUUUUGGAGUGGGUGUGGCCUGUUGGAUUGGGUGUGGCAUUGUUGGAUUGGGUGUGGCCUUGUUGGAGUGGGUGUGGCCUUGUUGCAGUAAGUGUG
ensembl:lncRNA